rnacentral:rRNA from 1 species
UACGUAGGGAGCUAGCGUUGUUCGGAAUCACUGGGCGUAAAGCGCACGUAGGCGGAUUUGUCAGUCAGGGGUGAAAUCCCGGGGCUCAACCUCGGAACUGCCUUUGAUACUGUCGAUCUGGAGUAUGGAAGAGGUGAGUGGAAUUCCGAGUGUAGAGGUGAAAUUCGUAGAUAUUCGGAGGAACACCAGUGGCGAAGGCGGCUCACUGGUCCAUUACUGACGCUGAGGUGCGAAAGCGUGGGGAGCAAACAGG